rnacentral:rRNA from 1 species
UACGGAGGGUGCAAGCGUUAUCCGGAUUCACUGGGUUUAAAGGGUGCGUAGGUGGGUUGAUAAGUCAGUGGUGAAAUCCCCGAGCUUAACUUGGGAACUGCCAUUGAUACUAUUGAUCUUGAAUACCGUGGAGGUCAGCGGAAUAUGUCAUGUAGCGGUGAAAUGCUUAGAUAUGACAUAGAACACCAAUUGCGAGGGCAGCUGGCUACGCGAAUAUUGACACUGAUGCACGAAAGCGUGGGGAUCAAACAGG